CGGAUGAAGUGAGCUUGCUCAUGGAUUCAGCGGCGGACGGGUGCGUUAUGCCUAGGAAUCUGCCUGGUAGUGGGGGACAACGUUUCGAAAGGAACGCUAAUACCGCAUACGUCCUACGGGAGAAAGCAGGGGACCUUCGGGCCUUGCGCUAUCAGAUGAGCCUAGGUCGGAUUAGCUAGUAGGUGGGGUAAUGGCCCACCUAGGCGACGAUCCGUAACUGGUCUGAGAGGAUGAUCAGUCACACUGGAACUGAGACACGGUCCAGACUCCUACGGGAGGCAGCAGUGGGGAAUAUUGGACAAUGGGCGAAAGCCUGAUCCAGCCAUGCCGCGUGUGUGAAGAAGGUCUUCGG
rnacentral:rRNA from 1 species